rnacentral:rRNA from 1 species
AACGAACGCUGGCGGCAUGCCUAACACAUGCAAGUCGAACGAGACCUUCGGGUCUAGUGGCGCACGGGUGCGUAACGCGUGGGAACCUGCCCUUAGGUUCGGAAUAACUCCCCGAAAGGGGUGCUAAUACCGGAUAAUGUCUUCGGACCAAAGAUUUAUCGCCUUUGGAUGGGCCCGCGUUGGAUUAGCUAGUUGGUAGGGUAAAAGCCUACCAAGGCGACGAUCCAUAGCUGGUCUGAGAGGAUGAUCAGCCACACUGGGACUGAGACACGGCCCAGGCUCCUACGGGAGGCAGCAGUAGGGAAUAUUGGACAAUGGGCGAAAGCCUGAUCCAGCAAUGCCGCGUGAGUGAUGAAGGCCUUAGGGUUGUAAAGCUCUUUUACCCGGGAUGAUAAUGACAGUACCGGGAGAAUAAGCUCCGGCUAACUCCGUG